AUUGAACGCUGGCGGCAUGCCUUACACAUGCAAGUCGAACGGCAGCACGGGUGCUUGCACCUGGUGGCGAGUGGCGAACGGGUGAGUAAUACAUCGGAACAUGUCCUGUAGUGGGGGAUAGCCCGGCGAAAGCCGGAUUAAUACCGCAUACGAUCUACGGAUGAAAGCGGGGGACCUUCGGGCCUCGCGCUAUAGGGUUGGCCGAUAGCUGAUUAGCUAGUUGGUGGGGUAAAGGCCUACCAAGGCGACGAUCAGUAGCUGGUCUGAGAGGACGACCAGCCACACUGGACCUGAGAAACGGCCCAGACUCCUACGGGAGGCAGCGGUGGGGAAUUUUGGAAAAGGGGCGAAAGCCUGUUCCAGAAAGGCGGGGUGUGUGAAGAAGGCCUUCGGGUGGUAAAGCACUUUUGUCCGGAAAGAAAUCCUUGGCUCUAAUACAGUCGGGGAUGACGGUACCGGAAGAAUAAGCACCGGCUAACUACGUG
rnacentral:rRNA from 1 species